rnacentral:rRNA from 1 species
ACACGAGUGGCGAACGGGUGAGUAACACGUGGGUAAUCUGCCCUGCACUUCGGGAUAAGCCUGGGAAACUGGGUCUAAUACCGGAUAUGAGCUCCUGCCGCAUGGUGGGGGUUGGAAAGUUUUUCGGUGCAGGAUGAGUCCGCGGCCUAUCAGCUUGUUGGUGGGGUAAUGGCCUACCAAGGCGACGACGGGUAGCCGGCCUGAGAGGGUGAGCGGCCACACUGGGACUGAGACACGGCCCAGACUCCUACGGGAGGCAGCAGUGGGGAAUAUUGCACAAUGGGCGAAAGCCUGAUGCAGCGACGCCG